rnacentral:rRNA from 1 species
CCCUUAGAUGUUCUGGGCUGCACGCGCGCUACAAUGGCGUUUUCAAAAAGAUUGCUAAUCCGAAAGGACCAGCGGAUCUUCGAAGUGGCGUCGUGAUCGGGACAGUUGAUUGCAAUUAUUCGACUCGAACGAGGAAUUCCUUGUAAUCGUGCGUCAUCAGCGCACGCUGAAUACGCCCCUGUUCUUUGUACACACCGCCCGUCGCUCCUACCGAUCGAGCGAUCCAGUGAAUGUUUCGGAGCGGAACUGAGAUGCUAAUGCGUCUCUUUUACGCGAAUUUGUGUGAAUUUGAUCGCUUAGAGGAAGGAGAAGUCGUAACA